rnacentral:lncRNA from 1 species
UUGUGUUACCUCGAUUGCUUGUGCCUGUUUGGGUGAAUAAAAGCGAGGUGAGGAAAUGGCUUGGGCUUCGCUGGCUGCUAGAGGAUGGGUCUCCUGGCUGCCCUCAUGUUGCGCUGACUCCGUGUCUCUUUAUUAUUCAUCCUCAUUGGAACGAAGUAGUAGCUCUAGGUCCCAGAGCAAGGCUGGCCAGGGAGAAACAAAGUAGCUCUGGGUCUGGGAGCAAGGUUGGCCAGGUGAGCCAGCUACAGGUGGUACCCCACUGUGGGGCUGGGGACUCCUACUUAUCACCUACCAUCAUGGUUAGUUUUCUAUAUGAAUAUUACUGGGUUGUAGUAACCAUUGAUUUAAUCAAACACUAAUUUGUUGCCGUGAAGGACUUUAAUAGAUGUUGUUAAUAUCUACCAUCAGUUGACCUGAAGGAAGGUUACUACCCUACUUGGUAUAAUGGUGAUGAAUGACUUAAUCCCUUCAACCUAAGGCUGUAAG